GUAGGUGGCAAGCGUUGUCCGAAAUUAUUGGGCGUAAAGCGCGCGCAGGCGGUUCUUUAAGUCUGAUGUGAAAGCCCACGGCUCAACCGUGGAGGGUCAUUGGAAACUGGAGAACUUGAGUACAGAAGAGGAAAGCGGAAUUCCACGUGUAGCGGUGAAAUGCGUAGAGAUGUGGAGGAACACCAGUGGCGAAGGCGGCUUUCUGGUCUGUAACUGACGCUGAGGCGCGAAAGCGUGGGGAGCAAACAGGAUUAGAUACCCUGGUAGUCCACGCCGUAAACGAUGAGUGCUAAGUGUUAGGGGGUUUCCGCCCCCCUUAGUGCUGCAGCUAACGCAUUAAGCACUCCGCCCUGGGAGUACGGCCGCAAGGCUG
rnacentral:rRNA from 1 species